rnacentral:lncRNA from 1 species
AGGCGUAGGAAUAAGUACGAAGAUGGAUACCAACCAAUUAUGAUCUGAACUUGUUCUUAUGAGGCUUAGCCAUGUGUAUUAGACAGAAAUAAUGUUAGCUCUGUACCAUAUGUUAUUGAAACUCUCGUUUCCCUUUGCUAGACGAGUGUGAAUAAACCCGGGCGACUCACAGUCUGCUGUGGACCAAUGUGGGUUAUGGUCUAGCCCAAUAUUAAUGCCAUUACUGUUGUUAGUAAUUGGAACUGUGUGAUUUAUGUGAUCCUUUGUUGGACUUUUAUGUCCAUUUCUUUCAUUUUCUCUACGACUCCUGUAGCUGGUUGUGUUCAACACUAUGUUGACAUUUGUAAGGGACCUGUCCUAAGUUGAGAAAAUGCAAAGCAUUAUUGGGUCGCUAUUUCCUGUGGCAGCUGCCAAGUUUGAGUAUCUUCGCCUUAGAGGAACCACAUAUGUUACUUUUUUUUAUAAAAAAAAAAAAUUAUUUCAUGUUUUUAUUCUGCAUGUGUGUUAUUUAAUAAUAAUCGUUGAAAGAACUGUUUUAAAUAUUUUACUUCAUCAUAGUUUCUCCUACAAUUAUGGAUCUCUGUUUCCUAGUUUUCCCCUUCUCAAACGAUCUAUAUACACGGUAAGCUUAAAGUAUGCAUGCUUCGUCAUAUAUUUAACACAAGUGUGCAUAUUGCAACUAAUAUUUUGGGAUGCAUCACACAAUAAUUUUACAAUAUAUCCAUAGUGCUUUGUGACAUUACCUUUGACUUUUAUCAAUUGCAUUGCUACCAGAGAUAGUGCAUUAUUAACUAUGAUACUGUAAAGAAUUCAAUUUGAAAUCAAAUUAACAAUCGACAAUGAAUCAUAAUAUGGUCAAAUAAAAAAUAAAGAGAUACGUACUAGCUUUGAAAUGGGAAAAUAAAUCAUGAACGAAUGAUUUAGUUUUUUUUUUUUUAAAUUUUUCUUUCCUCUCUCUUUCUCUUCCACUAUGAGUUCUCUCCGUCGUCAACUCUUUUUAUGGUGAUGAACAAAUUGGACUUUAUGACCAUAACAUUAUAAUUACAAAUAAUAAUAAUAAUAAUAAUAAUAAUAAUAAUAAUAAAUAAGAUUCAAUGAGAAUGAUGCAAUUGAUUGGUAUUCUUGAUUAUUAUUAUUAUUAUUAUUUUUUGCUUCUUUAACUAAACUUAAAAGUUUCAUUACUAACCACAACAACAAUAUGAAAGAAAUUAGAAUGUUGCGGAAUUUCUUUUUUGUAAUUGUUUUAUUUUUCUAAAUUAAUUCGGAUGGGGACGAAGGCAAAUGGAAGAGAACAAUAAAAAUCAUUGGCUCUGAAAAUAUUUUUCUGUAGGAUGCCCUGCCUUCUGAAACCUCCUCAACGUUAAAUCUUUUUUUUGUUUUUAUAGUAUCAGAGUUCAGAUUUUGUGCUUUAAUUGCCGUUGCUUUGUGGAAGUCAUUUCUCCUUCGCAUAUCCACCUCCUGCCUUCAAGUGAUUUUUGUGGGACCAAAAUCUUUUUCCUUUUUCACAUUUAAUAUAAUAACUGCAUGGUCUGUUGUAAAUUUUUAAUUGUCGAAGAAGGGAGUUGAAUGAUGAAAUGAGAAUAAAUUUAUCAUUUAUGUAAUCUUAUGAAGUGAUGAACUUGUACCAUUGUAUGUAAUUGGGGUUUUAAAUUGGAUAUUAGCACCACCCUCAUGUGCUUACAGAUUAAUUAACAGCACAAACACGUGGGCUUGGUGAAAAAGAGCAUAAGCUAGGUCUAGCUUAUUUGAGGGUGUUCUUAGGCCGGGCUUCACAUGUGUUGGCCCGCUUGGACCCAGACCUGGGCUUCAAUCAGAAAGCCUGAGCAUGGCCUGACUCUCGGACGUUAAAUUUUUAACACCCCUGUAAAAUUCUAAUAGCGCCUCUUCAGUUACAAACUGGUUAUUCUUUUAGGAAAUUUAUUUAAAACCAAAUUACUAAAUAAAAAGUCAAUAAAUAACUGUAAGUUAAAUUACUUGACCGUAGGGAUGGCAAAAUAAUCUAGGCCCGGUUUGGAUCCGGAUGAUCCGGGCCGGGUUCAACCUGUACCGCAUUUAAAUAAUAUGUGGGUUUGGUAUUAAUUUUUUAAAACCCGGACAUAUCCAGGUUUAGUUCCGGGUUCAACUGAACCAGUAUGUCCGGAACCCAGACCCGGAUAUAUUUAUAUUCAAUAUACGUAUAAAAAAAAUGUAUGGAAAAAGAACAAAACCCUAGUUUGCACUUUUGGCUUUUAACUCAAACCGGCCACCACCAUUUCAUCUCUUUUUCAUCUCCCAAAAAUUCAUCAAUUCACAGCCACCACCAUUUCCUCUCAUUUUCAUCUCCCAAACUCACCAAUUUAAAUCAUCAUCAUCAAAUCAUUAUCAAUCAUCAUCAAAGGCUUGAAUUCUCAAUAUCUCCUAAACUCAUUCACGGUCACGGCUGGCAACAGAAUAUCAUGCACACGAAGUGACGAAUUGGGAUUCAUGGACGUAGACGAAGCAAUGACCAACUAUACAAAUUUACUGGAUUUUCAUUCCCUGUCGCCAUUUGUGUUCUAUUUUACUAUUAGUUUAGCUUUUGUUUGAUGAUGACAAGCUGACAAUCACAAAAUUUGGGUUUUGUUUUGCAUUUUUGCUUCAUUGUUUUGUUAUAUUCUUUAAUCAAUUUCUUCUGUUUGAUUUAAAUAUUAUUCCUAUUUUCGCAUUGAAGCAAUCAGUGAUGGAAAAAAGUUGCAAGUUCAACACUCAGUGCCUUACCUCUGUUUUUACAUUCUGAAACAAGCCUAAAAAUGGUGCCCAUCUGGGUUCAAAACCCGGAAUCCGAAAACCUGGAUUUUUCUGGGUUGAACCCGGACCCGGACCCAGGUGAAAAAAUCCGGGUUAAAACCCGGGUCCGGGAGAAGAAAAUGGCAUUCGGGUCCGAAAUCGGGAAGGCUAAACCCGAACCUGGACUCGAAUUUUGCCAUCCCUACUUGACUGGUUGCUUUCACUUUAUUCAAUAAAUAAUUGAGUAGAGCAGGGGCGCAUCUAGGAUUUUAAAGUAUCCCCGGUUAAAUUUUUUUUUUAAAGUUAUAUUAUAAAGAAAACAUAAAAUUUUAUAAAAAAAUAAAAUACACAUAAUAAGAUGAGAAUAUUAGAAAUCUUACACCAAAUAAUAAUUACUUUAAACAAAAUAAUUUUAUAAAAAUGUAAUUCAAAAUAAAAAUAUAACUAAAAUUUUAUUUUUCGCAGCUUCAAACAAUAGAAUUCAUCAAUUAUGGAUUUUGAAUCAAUAGUAUCUGACUACUUGGUAGCUACUAUUGAGGUUUUUAACCGCAACCUAUUCUCUAAGGGCUCAUUUGGUUUAAGUAUAAAAUGAUGAGAUUGGACAAUUUUAGGAUAAAAUUAUCCUAAUGCAGUGUUCGGUAACCAAAAAUAAUUGUGGGAUAAAAUUAGUGGAGCCCACCAUUUAGUCCAAACAAUGUCAAAAUUUUAUCACAAGGGGGAGUGUGGGAUAAGCUAAAACUUAGCCAUAGGAUAAGAAAAAAAAAAGCCCAAAAUUCCUCUCUAUCCCUCUCAUAAUUCCUGUUAUGUUUAUAAUGAUAUUAUUUAGUAAAAUAUAAGUUUAAAACUAUAACAUGUUAAAUAUAAAAAAUUAAGGGAAGAAUUUGUAUUUUUUAACAAAUUUACCAAUAAUUACUAAUUUAAUUUAGAUUAUAUUUCAUGUCAUUUUAAAAUAAAUCUAAAGUAAUUUUGAUAAAUUAAUAUAUAUGACAUAUUAUUAGUUACUAGUCAAUCUCAUGUCAUACCAAACAUAAGGCAUGAUUAUUUAUAGUCCAAUCCAACAUUGCACCAAACAUAAUAUAGUAUUAUAUAUAAUCUAGUGUUAUCCAAUUCAAUCAUAUCUUAUCUAAUUCGAUCCGAUCCAAUCCAAUCCAAUCCGGCAUACCAAAUGAGCCCUAAAACAUUGUUGUGAAGAUUGUGCAUUUAUUUAUUUUUUUAUCAAUAUGUUUAAAUGGGUCCUUUAACUUGCUUCAUCUACUACUUGGAUUUAUUGGACAUUAUAGCCUAUAAAAUACCAUAACAUGAAACUAAAGAAGAAUUAAUAAAUUAAUUAAUAAUUACAAGCUUAAUUAGCAUGCUUAAAUAAAUUAAACAAUUCAAUUUUGUUAAUCUUUUAUAUUUAAAAAAAAUAUUAUUAGUGAAAAAAUAACAAUAAUAAAUCAACUCAAACUAAUAAAUCACAAAACUAAUUAAAAAAAGCCAAUCAAAAUAAUAAAUUAAAAUAAUAUAUAAAAUAAAUCAAUAAAAUCUAACUAAGAAAAAUAAAUAAUUUAUGCAAGUUCUAAAAGUAUAGUAACAUAUCAAUAGAAAAAUUUACAGAUUGCAAAGAAAUCGGAAGAUAUGAACGGAUGAUGAAUUAUGAUUUGUGAAGCAAUGAAGGUGAAUUGACGAAGAAUGAAGAAUCGGGAAGGGUUUGGAAAUUUUUUUGUUUUUUCUAAUGGUGUCGGUGGAAGUAAAGGAAAAAUAAUAAUGAUAUUUUUUUUGUUUUUCUUCUAAUGGUGCCUGUGGAAGUAAUGAUGAUGGAUGGUGUUUUGUAAUGAACAAUCAAUGGUAUUUUUGUUAUUAAUAAUUAAUGAUAUUUUCAUAAUUUUAAUUAAACUAACUUUUUUUUUUUUUUUACAUCGGACUGCAGCCCCGUACGGCCGACUAACAGAUCCACCCCGGUGGAGAGAAUUAAUAAAAAGUCUAGACUAAAUUUACAUUUAAUUCAAUGGUGGAGCUGGACAAUUGGAUAAACCAAUAAAGUUUUCAUUAACGAACAUGAAGGAAGGCCAUUCGGUGUACUGCAGCUUUGAUCCUGUUUGAGUAAAUGCAUUUCAGUAAAGAUGGCUUCUUGCGGUACAGUUGAGUGUCAACGCUUUCCUUGGAGUCCGGUAAUAACCUUAGCUUUCUUGAUCUACAAAUUUAGGAUUUUUCCUUUGCAAAAUAUUUAAUAUUACAUAUCUACGUGUCCCAUCCGAUGAAUAUUUAAGUACGGCUCAUAUCUCGGGCCAUGUAUUAACAGGUCUCCUCCUCUCUAAUGAACUUUUUUGAUUUUUUUUUUAAUUUUUUAAGUAGGGGAGUAAGUAAUUAAUAAAUUUAGGGUGUGUUUAUUUAAGGGUUUAAGAGAUUAGAAUGAAGGAAUGUGAAUAAAACUCAUGUUUACUUGAUCAAAAUGUAAUUUAAAAAUGAAAAUAAAAUAUGUGGGUCCCAUACAAUUUGAAUAUAAAGAAUGAGAAUUUCAUUCACAUGGGGGUUGUGAAUGAAAAUAAAGAAAUAAAAAUAAAACAUGAGUUUACUUUUAUAUCCCUUUAAUUUUUUUUUAUUUUUUUUAAAUUACCCUCAUUCAAAUCACAAUUAAUUUUUAUUAUUUUAAAUAUUAUUAUUAUUAUUAAAUUUUAAACUUUAUUAUUUUAGUUAUUAUUAAUUAUUGUUAUUAUUAUUUUUAUUAAUAUUAUCAUUAUUAACAAUUAUUAUUAUUAUUAUUAUCAUCAUCAUCAUCAUCAUCAAAAUUUAUUAAUUUUAUUAUUUUAAAUGUCAUUAUUAUUAUUAUUAAUUUUAUUAUUUUAGUUAUUAUUAAUUAUUUUAGUUUUUAUUUUAUUAAUAUUAUCAUUAUUAACAAUUAUUAUUAUCAAAAUUUAUUAAAUUUAUUAUUUUAAAUGUCAUUAUUAUUAUUAUUAUUGACUUUAUUAUUUUAGUUAUUAUUAAUUAUUGUUAUUUUUAUUUUUAUUAAAUUAUCAUUAUUAACAUUUAUUAUUAUUAUUAUCGUUAUUAUCAAAAUUUAUUUAAUUUAUUAUUUUAAAUGUCUUUAUUAUUAUUAUUGACUUUAUUAUUUUAGUUAUUAUUAUUAUCAUUAUUAUUAUCAAAAUUUAUUAAAUUUAUUAUUUUAAAUGUCAUUAUAUUAUUAUUAUUGACUAUAUUAUUUUAGUUAUUAUUAAUUAUUUUAUUAUUAUUAUCAUUAUUAACAAUUUUUUAUUAUUAUUAUUAUUAUUAUUAUUAUUAUUAUUAUUAUCAAAAUUUAUUAAAUAUAUUAUUUUAAAUAUCAUUAUUAUUAUUGACUAUAUUAUUUUAGUUAUUAUUAAUUAUUAAUUUUUAUUUUUAUUAAUAUUAUCAUUAUUAACAUUUAUUAUUAUUAAUUUAAUUUUUUUAAUUAAUAGUAUUUUUAUAAUAAUAUUUAUACAUGUAUCUAGUUGAUAAAAAUUACAUUAUUUAAUACUAUGAGUAUUUUGUUAAAUUGAUUCUCAUUUCUAUUCCUUAUUCCCAUUUAUUUUGUCAAGUAAACAUAUCAAUGACAUUCCAGUAAAUUUUCAUUUUUAUUUAUUUUUUACAAGUAAACAUUUCACCUCAUUCACAUUCCUCAUUCUCAUUCUAUAAAAUAAACGCACCAUUAUUUCUUAAUUUUUCAUUUCUGUCAAAUUUCUAAUUCAAUUAGUCACACAAAUAAAAUUACUUACUUGAAAAUCAUUUCCAAGCGUACAAUGAACUUAUUUGUUGGAGCUGGCUAAGUUACAGAUUCUGUAACUUACAGAUCCAACUCAUAUUGCCUGCAUUUGCACAAUUUUUCUCUCUCCUCAGGACACGUGUGUUGCUUCCCAUUGGGUGUGUACGUUACAGAUUCUGUAACGUAGAUUGGUCCCUUAUUUGUAAUGUUGUCUAUUAUUAUAGUUUAUCACUAUUAUUCCUAUCAAUCAGAGACUAUCCGUAGCACGCAACUCCAAACCGAUUUAUUUAAACGUGCUGCCAAACAACACGACUCGCAUAAGAUAAAAUGAAAGAACAAUCAAGAAUCAUCAUUCCAUUAUCCAAUUUUUCUUGCCGUAGCCAGAACGCUUUUCUAAGUAGCGACAUAGGAUAAAUGGAAGAACGAUCAAGCUGAUAUGGCUAUUUUGUCAUUAUUGCUUUUCUUGACUAUCACAUUUAUGUCGAUGCUCCAACUUUCAAUUUCUUCAACAUUUAGCCUUUCUAGAAGCAACAGUACAUACUCUACUGAUGCGACAAAAGGAUUAAAAAAAAAAAAAUGCUCGUUGCGUCACUGCUUAGGCCAUUCUAAAUCUUCAGUUCUCUGUCUGAAGUCUAUCACUUGGUGCAAAAUAGUCAAAUUUUCAACAUUUAGACCAUACGAUAAUCGGACACGUGGAUGAUCCUGUGACUACCACAUUUUUCCAAGUCACGUAGCGGGCCAUUUAUAUUAGUUAAUUCAUUUGUGAAUGUAAUGAGAAAGAACUAAGGCGACGCACACUAGCAGGAGCUGAAACUUUCAGUCUUUCACUGUCUGAAAAGGCCGUUGACCAUUCAAUCUGCGUACGUUCUUUGUUCUCAAAUUUUAUCGUUUGUUUUCAUUUUUCGUUCAUGUCAAGUUUCUGUAUUUGCACACAAUUAAAUGAUCACUCAUUCGCAGGUUUUGCUUUUACCUGACGCUUUUCAAUAGUUUGAUGCACUCUAGUAUUUGUGAUAUAUCUUUCUGCUAGUGCUUGAUGACCCAAGUUGCAUGUGAACGGAUUAGUUAUUCAUUUUACUUUGUUAAUCAGUCAAAUAUCAUAGACCCCAUCUGUUAUUACGGUGGUGAUUGCUAGGAACAGUUGAGAGUCUUGUCAAACUUUUCCAAACAUGUGUCCAAAUAGAUUGAGCUUGUACGUGAGAUAGCUGGAUUUUAUUUGCUUACAAACCUUUUUUGGGAUUAUUUAAAAAUUACAAUUACUGACCUGGUUUCGGAUAUACGAGAGUUGUUUGCUGUUAUCCAAUUUAUUUUGGUUGGAGCACGUUUUAACUGACACAAAGCCGGAAAUACCAGUUCAAUCUCAGUAACCUCUAUAAUUUGUCUCAAAUACGUUGUGUUUAGUUAUUUAUGUUCUUGGAUUUCCAGUUCAUUUAUGGCUUAACUGAUAUAAGAAAGCUGACAGGGAUAUGAGAAAUUUUUCUCAAGGAUGGAAGAUUCUGGUAGCCAUUUUUCUGUUGGGAUUAAGCUUUCCAUACUCACAAGGUUAUAAUGUCAAAUCUAAAGUCUUUUUGUCACCUAAGUUUGUGCUGGGGCCAGGAUCCGUUGAGAAUAAAUUUUACUAUGGGAUUGACUUUCCGAGAGGUCAUAUUGCUCUAAAGAGUUUUGAUGCAGAAGUAAUUGAUGAGGCAGGAAAUCCCAUUCCUCUUCACGAGACUUAUCUCCACCAUUGGCUCGUUGAAAAAUACUAUGGACGUAAAGAUGCAGAAGUACUAGAGUAUAAUGGCAACAGACUUCUUCAUGAAUCAGAUUACAUUUCAGCGAGAAAUGAUGGCAUAUGCCAGAGGAAUUGUCUCGGGCAGUUUUUUGGCCUUGGCUCUGAGACACGAGGAACAGCAACGCAUAUUCCAGAUCCUUAUGGUAUAGAAAUUGGCAAUCCUGCUACAAUUCCUGCAGGCUAUGAAGAGAGAUGGUUUCUUAAUGUCCAUGCAAUUGAUACACGAGGUGUCGAAGAUAGGUUGGGAUGCACCGAAUGCAAGUGCGAUUUGUACAAUGUUACAGUGGAUGAGUAUGGCCAGCUGCUAAGGCCAAAUUACAGAGGUGGUUUUGCGUGUUGUUACGAUGGUACUCAGUGUAGAGUGAAAAAUGGUUUUGAAGGUGCCAGGAGGAGCCUCUAUUUGAGAUAUACCGUAAAGUGGGUUGAUUGGGACACUUCCAUUGUGCCUGUUAAAAUCUACAUAUUUGAUGUCACUGACAAUGAAACACGGUUUAGUGAUUCCACUGGAUUCAGCAUACAGCAUCAUUGCCAGGUAAGUGAAAUUCUUUUUACGAAACUCUCCAAGCUGAAACAGAAAUGAAUUUUAUUUGGGACGCUCAGUGGAAUAGCCUCGGCAUUACUUUCUUCAUCUUUUACGGUUCAUUGAACUAGGUUGUUAUAUAAUCAUUUAAUGCUUGUUUUGGUGCAUUACUGGAAAAAUGGAAUUGGUUCAUUGAUGCAACGAACACAAAGUUGGAAUCUGCAUAAAGCUAAUCGUAAUUUUCUGGAAAACUUUCUUUGGGCUUAGAGUCCUCUUUGACGGCAUACUGUUUAAUAUGUGUGUAUGAAAUGACUUGCGUUGAAGAUAUUUUUUGUUUAAUGUGGAGGAUUUUGUAUUAAAUGUGCACAAAUUUAUAGACAUUCAAGAGCACAUAAGCACAAACACUUACUUCAGCCCUUAAAUUUGAUAAUCAAUAGUGUAAACGUUUUGAUUUGUGAUUUUCUUGCAACUCUUAGUGACUUAAUUUCUUCACAAAUGUGGACCCAUCGGAAUAUCUCUGAUUGCAGACUGAAUAUUCUGUUGAUCCCUGUAAAGCCAAUGAUGUAGCUGAUAAUGGGUGUGUCCACACCAAAAGGACCAGUGUCACGAUGCCAACCAGUGGUUACAUCAUCUAUGGCGUUGCCCAUCAGCACUCAGGGGGCAUUGGUGCAGCUCUAUACAGAGAGGUGAUUUCAAUAUCUAAUUUGCAUUCACGUGGCAUGCCUUUUCUUUUGUCUAUGUUCUACUUUCCAUUGUAAUUUUAUCAUUCUUAUCUGCCAGGUUGGUGGUAAACUGGUGAUGUAUGAAGACGUGUACUAGUUCUUGAUCUUUUUAAUUUUCUUGUUAGAUUAUGCUUUGAAAGUUAAUGUUUCUUUAGUCUGCAAAAGAAUUGUCAGCUAUGACAGAAGUUACUAUUUUUUGCACAUAAAGAAUGUUUUAAGAUUAUGUAAAUGUUUAUAACAUUAAUUAGAUGUUGAGGACACGUGAGUGUGACAUUAUCAUAUUUCCAAAUAGACUAUUUUUGAGCUUCCAGCUGCUUGAUUUGUUUGUCAUCCUCAAAGUUUCGAUAAUAUUGAUGUUUCAUAUAUAGUGUAAUGGUCCCUCAACUUGGUUGGAUGUUUUCCCUUUUUGUUUUGAAGAACAAUUCUUCAUUACUCAUUUUAUGUAAUUUGUUCAGAACCCACUGUGAUGAUUGUGGAAGGAAUUUGAUUCCCUAAUGUCUUCUUUCAUUGAUAUGCUUGUUUUUGGUGAAAUCAGGAUGGACAACUUAUGUGCUCUUCAAUUCCAGCUUAUGGAAAUGGGAUGGAAGCUGGAAACGAGGCUGGAUAUAUUGUAGGAAUGUCGACCUGUUAUCCUAAACCAGGCUCCCUCAGGAUAACAGAUGGGGAAACUCUGAUUGUGGAAUCUAGCUAUAGUAGCUCCCGCGAACACACAGGAGUCAUGGGGCUUUUCUACAUUUUGGUUGCAGACAGGGUGCCCGAGUCCAGUUCAUUCUUAGAUGUUUUCAACAAGGUAAGAUUCCCUUUUCAUAUUUUUAGAUAGUGAGUUCAGCAAUACAAGUUAUUAUGCUUGUGAGCACAUGCGAAAAUACGGCAGAUACAAAAAACUUAUUCUAGAAUUGAGUAGGAAUAUUGUCUUGCCUCUUAGAUUAUCGAAAUGGUAUAGAGAAUGGAUUAUAGACAGUCGUUUGAUUAGUGUUGAUGAGAAGAUUAUUAUUUGCGGGAGUAGAAACUGUUUAAUAUGAUUCUUAGGCGAUAAUAGAACUAUAAUCCUCUUCGUGAUUUUAACAAGAAACACCAAGCAUCUGAUAAGUGAUAACUGCCUGGUUUUUGCAGAUGGACAGUGAUAUAAACCAUUCUGCUUUUGUUUGGGGAGCAUUUGUUUUAGCCGGAGUUGCUGUCAUUGCUGCCGCUGUGGGUUACAGGCGUAGGAAUAAGUACGAAGAUGGAUACCAACCAAUUAUGAUCUGAACUUGUUCUUAUGAGGCUUAGCCAUGUGUAUUAGACAGAAAUAAUGUUAGCUCUGUACCAUAUGUUAUUGAAACUCUCGUUUCCCUUUGCUAGACGAGUGUGAAUAAACCCGGGCGACUCACAGUCUGCUGUGGACCAAUGUGGGUUAUGGUCUAGCCCAAUAUUAAUGCCAUUACUGUUGUUAGUAAUUGGAACUGUGUGAUUUAUGUGAUCCUUUGUUGGACUUUUAUGUCCAUUUCUUUCAUUUUCUCUACGACUCCUGUAGCUGGUUGUGUUCAACACUAAGUUGACAUUUGUAAGGGACCUGUCCUAAGUUGAGAAAAUUCAAAGCAUUAUUGGGUCGCUAUUUCCUGUGGCAGCUGCCAAGUUUGAGUAUCUUCGCCUUAGAGGAACCACAUAUGUUACUUUUUAAAAAAAAAAUUUAUUUCAUGUUUUUAAUCUGCAAGUGUGCUAUUUAAUAAUAAGUUAUUUUUAUAUUUUGAACCAAAAAGAAGCGUCAACGAACACCGAAAGAAUUUAUUUAUUUAUUUUUAAAGGACGGUAGGUGCUUUGUGUAGUGUGAAUCGGGAUCGCGUUAUCUCGUUAUCUCCCCAGUCCCAUUCGCCGAAAAAAUCGAUCAAACCCCCACGAUCUGCACGUGCCAAUUCCCUGUUCGGUAAUUUCACCAAAAUCAUAGGGCCUUUUCUAUUUUGUCAAAAGCAAACCGGUUUAAGCCGUUUAGCAUCAAAUAAAUAAUGUGCAAAAGCUGGCGAAUCUUGGUUAGCGCGAUGGUACAUUCCGCGAACAUAAAAAUAAAAUAAAAAAUUAUUAUUUUUGAAAAUUCACUAUUUUGUGCUCCUUUUAGAAAUCGCCUCAUAAGUUCACCAAUCAGCUGUCUCAAUUGAGAAUUUUGACUCUUUCGUUUGACUCAUCAUCGGAAAAGGAAACGAUUUUUCAAUUUCCUUUAUCAGAUUAUACAUACAAGUUCCAGAUUGAAUCGAUGCUUGUGGAGCAACAAUCGAAUCUCGUAAUUUUGAUUAAAAUCUAGGGGCAGAUGACCGGAGCAGGGGCAGGACACGCGGUGGAACGCGUCGGAUUGCCAAAGAUGGAGUCGACCCGCUCCGCUUCAUGCAACCCGGUGAGGAAAUCGGGUCCGGUCACGAUGGACCACGUGCUGCUCGCGUUACGCGAGAGCAAGGAAGAGAGGGACAUCCGAAUCCGGAGCCUCUUCAAUUUCUUCGAUGCGGCGAAUUCCGGAUACUUGGAUUACGCGCAGAUCGAGAGCGGGUUGUCGGCGCUGCAGAUUCCGGCACAGUACAAGUACGCGAAGGAUUUGUUCAAAGUCUGCGACGCAAACAGAGACGGACGCGUCGAUUAUCAGGAGUUUCGUCGAUACAUGGACAUUAAAGAGAUGGAGCUUUAUAAGAUUUUUCAAACUAUUGAUGUCGAGCACAAUGGAUGCAUUUUGCCCGAAGAGCUUUGGGACGCGCUUGUUAAGGCUGGUACAACAUGCUCUUUAUGCUUAAUUGUACAUGUACUGUUUGUUUUUCCUUUAUUGUUUACUUUUGAGCUUGUAUUGCUUGUCAUUGACUAUUGUGAAUUAUUUAUUUGUCUGUUACUGGACAAGGAUGAUUUUCUUUUCGAACGGGUGAAAUUGCAACUGUUCAUAGUGAUAGAGAGAGAUUUAAGUUUGAAAUUUGUUCCUUUAUGUUUGAGGAUGAGUAGAGAGAGAUAGCAUUAUCCAAAAGCCAGUUUAUUUCGAUUAUUCAGGUCACAUCAGUUAGUAAAGAUUUUAAAUGUGGUUGCCUAGUUCCUCUCAUUUUUGCUAGGUCAUAAUUGCAGGAAAAAUAGCUUUAGUUCAGUUGGAAGUCCCUUUUGUUUUGCAUGACGGUGUGUGAAAUUUUGUAGUGCCCUUGAUUUAGAUUUCCGUAAUAAGUUGUGUUUUGGUGUUAGUUGGUGUAUGUGGGGGAGGUUGAAGGGAGGAUGUUGGUGGGGUUUGGCUGUAGUGUCUGCUUAUAAGAUGGAUAUGUCUGCUGUAAUUGGUCAGGGAAUGUGAGGGUUUCUUCCUUGCGAGGAAGAAACACAUUGUUUUCUGUGAAGAUUUAAGGUUGGGAAGCUUGUUGUGAUUUUUCACUUUGAAAGUUUCCUUCAUCCAGUUUGUUUGUCUGUUAUCUUGCCAAUUGUUUGUCCUGAGUGCGAGGAAGAAACACAUUGUUUUCUGUGAAGAUUUAAGGUUGGGAAGAUUCUUGUGAUUUUUCACUUUGAAAGUUUCCUUCAUCCAGUUUGUUUGUCUGUUAUCUUGCCAAUUGUUUGUCCUGAGAUGUGUAACUGUACCCAUUUCCUUUUUGCUUUCUUAUCUCAUUUUGCUGCAUGAAUCCUAAUUUCUCUCUUAUUGUUAUAGGAUUACUGGUUAGAAAUUUAUAUCCAUUAUGAGGAUUGAGCUCAACGGUUUAGAGCACUUUUAAAAAUGUUGUAACAGUUUAUGAAUUUGCAGCCUAGAGAUAAAACUAUGGUAUCCACCACAUUACUAGCUAGUAGCUGCUUCCACAUCUCUUACUGUGAAGAAAUCAUUUAAGACAAAGCUAUUAAACUCCUUGGCAUACAUACUGUAUGGAAUCAACUACUGUGAUGUAAAAUGAACCACAACUCCGAGAGCCCUGUAUAAAUCAAACUUUGAGAUUGCACUAAAAUUUGCAAAUACAAGAACAAACACAAAGGAUGACAAGGGAUGACUAAAUCACGAGAAAAAUUCAUAAUAAUAAUUAUAAAGGUUAUCCUCAAAUACCCAUAAACUUUGUAAACCUCAACUUACUCCCAUUUACCAUUCAAAAGAUGAGGGCAAAUAGGGGCGUGUUGAUGAAAAAAAUUUUGUCGUCUUAAUGGUAAUUGGGGAUAAAAUGAAAUCAACCCUUCCUGUUUCCAUAUCCCUCUUCCUUGUCCUUUGAUCAUGCCUGUUGUACAUUAUUUGGUAAUAUUUCUUCAUAUUGAAUUAGUGGAAGCCCUUCCUAGCAUAUUUUUUUGAACUUUGUUAGGUUUUCAAUCUUAUAAGCCCUGGCAGUUUCUGUUUUUCAGGGAUCGAGAUUAGUGACGAGGAAUUGGCUCGUUUUGUGGAGCAUGUUGAUAAGGAUAAUAAUGGAAUCAUAACUUUUGAAGAAUGGAGAGAUUUCCUUCUACUCUAUCCUCAUGAGGCAACUAUUGAAAAUAUUUAUCAUCAUUGGGAGAGGGUAUGCCUCGUAGAUAUUGGAGAACAGGCUGUUAUUCCAGAAGGCAUCAGUAAACAUGUUCAGAGAAGCAAAUACUUUAUUGCUGGAGGAAUAGCAGGUGCUGCUUCUCGUACUGCAACUGCUCCUCUUGACCGCCUGAAGGUUGUAUUGCAAGUCCAGACGGCACAAGCUCGUCUUGUGCCAACUAUAAGAAAGAUAUGGAAGGAAGAAGGUUUUUUGGGAUUUUUCCGAGGUAAUGGGUUAAAUGUUCUGAAGGUUGCACCUGAAAGUGCCAUAAAAUUUCAUGCUUAUGAACUUUUGAAGAAUGCAAUUGGAGAUUAUAUAGGGGAAGAAAAGGAUGAUAUAGGUGCUUUUGGGAGACUUUUGGCUGGUGGUAUGGCAGGUGCGGUCGCACAGACUGCUAUCUAUCCAUUGGAUCUUGUGAAAACACGGUUACAGACUCAUGCUUGUGAAGGUGGAAAGGCUCCAAACUUAGGUACGCUUACUAAGGAUAUAUUGGUUCAUGAAGGUCCUCGGGCAUUCUAUAAAGGUCUUGUGCCAUCUCUUCUUGGGAUUAUCCCGUAUGCUGGCAUUGACCUUGCAGCGUAUGAAACUUUAAAAGAUCUGUCAAGGACGUACAUUCUUACUGACAGUGGUACAAUCAUCUGUCUAUCUGUUUUUCAACGUUUUGUUCUCGUUUCAUUUUUUGUUUAUAUAUUCAGAUAUUUAUGUAUGCUCUUAUUGGGGAAUUUCUUUCUGAAAACUUCACCUUUUCUGUAGAACCUGGUCCUCUUGUGCAACUUGGAUGUGGGACAAUUUCAGGAGCUCUCGGAGCAACGUGUGUUUAUCCAUUACAGGUUAUUAGAACCAGGUAUGAGGUUACAAAUGAAAUAAGUUUUCAUUUGUCCAUGGUGAAAAUUCUUUGUUAUAGAUGCUUGGAAUUUUUCGUCCACCUGAUCUGGUCAUAUUGUAGAUUUACUGCGCUUCUUCUCAUGCAUAACACUGUUUUUCUUUCCAGAAUGCAAGCCCAACGUUCAAAAUCUGCUGCUGCAUAUAAGGGAAUGUCUGAUGUAUUUUGGAGGACUCUUCAGAAUGAAGGUUAUAGGGGUUUCUACAAAGGAAUUUUUCCAAACCUUCUCAAGGUUGUACCUGCUGCAAGUAUUACAUACAUGGUUUAUGAAACUAUGAAAAAGACUCUGGAUCUUUGAUAGGGAAGUGCUUUGGUUAUGCCAAAAUGCACUAAGCUGAUUGGUUUCUGAAACUAUGAAAAGUCUCUAAAUAUUUGAUGGUUAGUGCCUCCGUAAUGCAAAAAUGCACUAAGCUGAUUUCAUAGUUGGAGGCGGAGUGGAGUUGAUGACGAAAAAUAAUAAUAACAGUAGUAAAAAAGUAAUCAUUUGGUUAAUUAGUGAUAUGAUAGAUUAUAGUUUCCCAUGUGGAUGGGAUACAUGAUUUUUGUAGUCAAGAAUUUUUCCCCAGGCUUAUUAAAAUUAAAUGUUGAGCAAAGAAUGAUUAUGUGAUAUCGUGAUAUCUGAUCACUAAAUGAUAGUGAGUGUUCCAUUUUCAUCCCUGCUUUUUCUUGCUUACACUAAUCUCGAGAGUGAACAACUGCAGAUUUAUUUUGUUGUACACCCUCACAUUUAUCAAUGUAAAGAUAUAAUUUCAUGAUAUUAAUAAUUUGAUGUGCAAGCUGUAUGUAUUUGUUUUAUUUUAAUUCUAGUAUUGCAAGAUUGUACUUGGCCUACAGUACGUUGAUUUGUUAGAGUUUGUUAGAGUUGAAAUCCGUACGUUGAUAAAAAAAUGUUUUUCAUUUAACCUGAAAAUCUCUUUGCUGUUGGUGCCUAAGCCAUUGCGUUUGGGUUUUGUUAUCAUUGUUUGUAUGUGUCUGCUGUCCUUGGAUCUUUGCAGGUUCAGUUCAGAGGAAUGAAUUAUCGUCUGAGAAUGGUUCGAAACCAGUGGUUUAUAUAUUUGAUUCAGCAGUCGUAUAUAGACAUUGCAUGCUUUUAUUAGGUGAAUGCGCUGAAUUAAUCAUGCCGGUGCGUGUCUUGGGUUAUUGUUGUGUUAAUAUUCUGGUUAUGGAAUCAUGUAUGGAGGAGUUAACUGAACAUUCUUUUGACUCAGGACUGUUGAAAAAUAAUAUUUGAACACUAUAUGACAUCAAGACGAUAGAAAAUUGGGAACGACAACACUGUGCAUAAACUGUGUGAACAUCAACACGCUUUCCUUUGUCUUGCUGUCGACCUGCUGUUCAAAUAUCAGUGCUCCUCUUAACUGGUGCUAUCGGCAAUUCAGUUGUAUUGUUUUGACAGGUGCGCCCAAGCUCUGUGCUUGUGCGUGUGUGGUUAUCAUUUCUUAUUCUCCUUUUUGAUUCGUUAAUGCCAUUACUGGAACAAUCUUUCGAUGGAGUGCACGCAAAGGUCUGAAGCACAUCGAUUGUAUGUAUAUAUUUGUUACUUACUAUGUUAGCAAUUAAACUAAACCCAGUUUAUUCUUUUGUUAACUCAGAUAUUGCCUUACAAAAAGGAUACGAACACAAACGCAAGAAAGCUUUCAACAGAGCAAGGGGGGUCACAUGUCAAUCAUGGUUUCAUUUCUUUGCCGUGUGGACAGAAAUUGGCACCAACACAGAGAAAAUAAGAGAAGCAAAUUAAGCAGCAUAUGGAUGCAUACGAUUACAUUAAGCAGCCCCAUUUUUUGACAAGUACUCCUGUAUAUUUUAUGUAAAUGGCUAAGGAUGUUGUAGCAUUACAUUCUUUAGGGUACCUGAAUCUGCUAUUACAGAGAUAAUGGUGCGAAAAUGGUAAACAACAUAAAAACAUAACAAACCCGGAAGAAAGGCGUUGCCUUCCCUUUGCCUCUAUAUGACUUGCCUGUUCAUCCUCUUACCUCCGGGGAGGAAGAAGAUUACCUUGUAUUCAGCGUAUGACAUUCUUAUCAUCAUCUUCGCUAGCUCGCUGUCUUUAUAAACUUCUUCUUCUUCUUCUUCUUCCACAUUUUCUGUGUUGUGUCACACACAAAGCGUGGAAGUUCAGAUAGAAGGAACCAUAAGCAGCACCAGCUGCUGCUGCAUUGUUAUGGUUAAAUUUUCUCCAAUAAUGCCGUGUGGUAUAUAUAUUGACCUUUGCAAACGUAAGAGAGCUUGCAGGGGCUAAUCAAAUGGUUCUUUCACUUUAUUGAAAAGAAGACUAUAGGAAUUGAAAAAAAAAAAUGACAGAGAGCACAGAUCAGCAGUUAUGUGUCGCAUUUUCAAAAUGGUCCCCGUUAGCAUUAUUCUUUCUCGUUGGGUAAUGCAAUGCUUAUCUCUAAAUAAGAAUAUUAUUAUUCCUUUGCUUUACAUAAAUUUGCACUACUCUUAACCACUAAGCGGGCCUAGUUAUUCCAUUUGGGGAAAAAGAAACAAAAUUAAAGUUAAAAGUAGAAUGACAAUGGAAUUGACAUUAUAAUCGAAACAUUAAGUAACAGGUGGAGGGUUCCUGUGCCAAAAGAAGAGAAUGAGAUAAUAAAUUAAUACGGAAAGGGUGGUUAAAGCAGUUUAUACUAAAUAGGCAGUCUAAAGGGCGAAUAUGGAUAAAGAAAUAUGUACUUACUUUUAGUUGGUACAAAAAACUUUGCACCGUCCAAUUUUUCUUCUUCUUGCUUUGCCCCUUUGAAAAUUUGUUUGCGAGAAUCUGAGUCAAUUGGCACUAAUCCUAUGUGAGUGGAGAGGUUAAAUUAGCUAUAUGUGGAAAGACUGCUCAAUUAUUGAAGACACAAAUGAAGUUUAUCUUUUUUUUUUUUAAAU